GCCUGAGAAUUUGCAUUUCUAACAAGUUCCCAGGUGAGGCUGAUGCUGCUGGUCAGGGGACCCACUUGGAGACCCACCUUUGAUCUGUCGGACUGGGCCUUUCAAUACUGCAGCCACACAUGGCUGUUGAGCACUUGGAUGAGGCCAGGCUGAAACGAGAUGUGCUCUAGGUGCAAAAUACACAUUGGACUUUAAAGACAUCACACAAAAAGAAUGUAAACUCUCUCUCUACUAAUUUCAUAUGAAUUACAUGGUAAAAUGAUAAUAGUUUGGAUAUAUUAGGUUAAAUAUUAUUAUUGAAAUUGAUAUCACCUGUUCAUUUCUAUUUUUUAAUGUGGCUACUGGGAAAUUUAAAAUUACAUGUAUGGCUUGAAUUGUAUUUCUACUGGACAGCUUUGUAACAGACAAUUAAAAGAAGAUAUCAAACUGUAAAAAAGAAGUUUAAUACUUGAGAUUAGAAAUUUGAAUGCUGCAUGAAUGUAUGAUGAUAUUAAGGAAUUAUGUUUUAAUAAAUUUUUAAUUUUAGAAUAGUUUUAGAUUUACAGAAAAGUUGCUAAGAUAGUAGAGAGAUUAUUCCCCCUAUUGUUAGUAUCUUAUAUUAUGGUACAUUUGCAGCAGCUAAUGGAUCAAUGCUGACACAUUAUUAUUAACUAAAGCCCAUACUGUAUUCAGAUUUCCUUACUUUUUACCUUUUUCUGCUCCAGGAUCCCCUAUUAUGUUCAGUCAUCACGUCUCCUUGGGCUUCUCUAGUCGGUGACAGUUUCUCAGACUUUCCUUGUAUUUGAUGACCUUGGCAGUUUUGAGGAGUACUGGUCAGUAUUUUGUAGACUGUUCCACAAUUGGGAUUUUUCUGAUGAUUUUCCUCAUGAUGAGACUGGGGUUAUGGGUUUUGGGGAGGAAGACCACAGAGGCGAAGUGCCCUUCUCAUCGCAUGCUGUCAAUGACACGUGCUGUCAACAUGACUUCUCACUGUUGCUGUUGACCUUGGUCACCUGGCUGAGGUAGUGUUUGUCAGGUCUCUCCACUGCAAAGCCCCUUUCCCCCCUUUCCACACUGUCCUCUUUGGGAGGAAGUCUGUAUGCACGGCCCACACCUGAGGACUGGAGUAAUGCGCCCCCUCCUCGAGGGUGAGUAGCUACAUCAUUUGGGAUUCUUCUGCACAGAUUUGUCCAUUCUCCCCAUUUGUUCACUUAAUCAUUUGUUGACAGCAGUAAUGGACUCAAGGAUAUCUAUUUUAUGCUUUGGGUUAUAAUCCAGUCCUACUUUAUUUUGUUGCUCAAAUCGUUCCAGAUUUGGCCAUUGGGAGCUUUUUCAGUUGGCUCCUACGUCCCUUUGACAUAGCUCAUCAUUGUGCUUUUCUGAAGAUACCCUUCUGACACUACAAGAUACUCCAUACUCAUGUUUCUUCCCUGUCCCAGUCCUAGAAUCAGUCAUUUCUCCAAGGAGCUCUGGUUCCUUUUAUUAGAGAAUGCUGUUAGAAAUGAACUAUUAAUUUUUAAAGUGUGAUAAUGGUAUGGUUACUUUUUUUAAAAGAUUCUUUUAUCUUUUAGAUAUACGAAAUGAUCUAUUUAUAGAUUAAGUGAUGUAUCAGAUUUGCUUCAAAACAAGGAAAUGGGAGAUGAGAUGUGGGUGCUAGUGUGGAUGAAACAAGAUAGGUCGUGUGCUGAUAAUUAUUGAAGCUGGGUGAUGAGGGGUUUACUAUUCUGUUUUUACAUGUACUUGAAAUGUACUACAAUUAAGGUUUUUUUUAAAAAAAGAAGGGAAUAGUUGAUAGAGCUAAUAUUUGCUCAUGGAAUCAAGUGUUUUAUGGGAGAACAAAGAACGAGCAAAACUUUGACCUUCUAUAUUUUUAUUUUUAAAUUCCAAUUCCAAAGCAUUAAAAAGGUGGCCUCUAAAUUGGAAAGAAAAAUAUUAGCCUGGCUCCAUAAAAAUGGAACCACCCAGCAAUUGGUUUGGAGACAUACGAUACAAAUCAUCUGCAGGACAUAGGACAGCUUUAUUAAAACUUGUUUUAUAUGUUUACAGCUCAUACUUAGAUCUUCAGAUCCAAGUUAAACACACAGGCACACACGCAAAACACUGACAGAUUUAUUUAAAGAACGUGGUUUGUGUCCUUGACAAAUCAUUCAGUAUAUUCAUAAAGAUUAAGCUUUUUCAAUUCUUCUACGAAAAGGUCAAAAUUUCUGAGCCUGUCUCUCUUUACCAUGAGAGUCCUCUGGAUCACCUGUCCUCCAUUACUGUUCAAACAUAUCUGAGAUGCUCCAUAACAAUGGUGGGGAGCCACACUGGGUUAGUGAAGUACAAACCUCAGUAAAAAUUAGUUUAUUUUAAACUGGGAGAUGUACUCUAAAUGGCCAUGUUGUUAAGAAGGAAUUUUACUUUUAUGUUAUUUUCUUUAUUCAACCAACAUCUAAGUUUCUAUUAUGUAGAAGACACUAUGCUAUCCUGGGAAUACAAAAAUAAAGUACCAGCCCUGGAAGUGCUCAUAGGGAAGAAAUUUAGCAUUUGCAAAAUGGCAUCUGGCAGCAAACAGGGAAACAACAGACUGGGGAGCCCAGAUGACCCGCGAGAGCUGUGAGAGGUAGGAUGCAUGGGACCUGGUGACCUCAGGGCUGCAGGGUCUGUGGAAAAUGAUGAGCUGAAGCUGACACUGGCAGUCACUCUGCCAGGUGCCUGGAUGCGUGGGCAGGCGAGGGCGCUGUUAAGAACGCAAGGAUUUGAGAGCAGUAGAUUGGCCAAGAGAAGAUGAGAAAAGAUUUAGGUGUGAUGAGUAUGAAAUGCCUAUGGGCUUGGAGGUAGGAGACAUCAGAGGACAUCUGGAUAUACAGGCCUAGAACUCAAGGAGAAAGUUCAGGAAAGAAGUUGUGGCUACAAAGGUACGAGUGGUUAUUGUUUUUGUUGUUAGUGUCAGAAGUAUCACAUUAACUUCCAAUUUUAUGUCCCAGACUGUAGCCUGUACUGUUUUCUGUAAUUCAAAGUGUUCUAUGUAGCUUAGUACGUACUCAAUUUUGUAAAAGUUCCACGGAUUCCUAAAAACAGUGUAUUCUCUUUUUGAAUCCAAUGUCUAUCAAUAAGGUCAAUAUCUGCCCUUUAAUUUUGCUUAGGCCGAAAGCUGAAAAGCACAAGUCUUUUUUUCUACUGCAUUUCUAUUAAACUAUUCAUAUGGUCUAUCUGGUUUUGCUUCUACUUUGUGAUUCUGUGUAAUUGAUCAUACACUAGUGCACACACUGUCUUCCCUGUACUUGUCCCUCUUACCAACGUGACGACUCCUGAUGCACUGACUGCUUCUUGCCUGUGAUUGUACCUUGCUAGGAUCAGUAUUAUCACCGUGGCCUACUUUUUAUUUGCAGAGCAAUUCCUGUCCAGUACUUCAGUUUUAAUGUUUAAAGGUAGGCAAAAGCAUAUGAUUGUUUUUCAAAUAAAUCCUUGAAUCUGUUCGAUAUAUUUACACAUAGUUAUCAAGUUAACUUGGUCUUCUGACGUAUGUUAUGCACUUUUUAUGUUUUUGCUGUUUCUACCACCCACUAAAUGGCAAUGUGUUUUCCUUUUAUCUUGAGCAGUGAUUUGAACAUGAUAUGGCCUGUGUUUUUGUAAUUAAACAAUUAUUAUAAAAGCAAUACAUGGCAGAAAAUAAGAUAAGCAAAAUGAAGUGAAACAUAUCCAGAAGCCCACCCAUCCAGAGAUGCCCACUGUAAACGUUUGUAUAUUAUCUUCCAAACCAGCUCCUAGACAUGUAAAUGCAUACACAAAUGCACAAACACAAUAGAAUCCUCUAGAGAAGUCAUGCUACACAUCUGCUUCUGUGACUGACUUUGAGCAACAUAUCAUGAAUGUCUUUCCGUGUAAAUAAAUCUCCUCCACUUAAUUUUGAAAGUUCCCUUCUUGUGGACCUGUUCAGGCCUUAGACAUGUUUUCAAGCUGCCCUCUGGACAGUUUGUAGCAAAUUUACUUCUCAUCACCAUGAAUACUUACUAUUGUUUUUGACCUUUGCUAAUUUGAUAAAAGGUGAAGGAUAACAUGCAUCCUGUUUUGAUUUGUACUUGUUUAAUUACCAGUCAAGUUGAACAUUUUCAUGUUUUCUUAACAUUUAUCUUUAAGGAUAUAACAUAUGAUAAAAGUGAUUUCUUUUUUUUUUCUAUUUGGGAAAAGACGGAUUGUUCAGUAAAUGAUGUGGGAACAACUGAUUUACCACAAGGGAAAAAGAUUAAGGUUUUCAAUAAAAUGACGGCCAGAUAUAUUUAUGACAUCUUAAAAAGAAACCGACAAUUCUUCUAGAAGAGCCACUGGCAUGUACUCAUAGAUGCUCACCCCCGCUCAGUGUCCUCGGCCUUCAACUAUACACACCUCCCUUCAUCCCUGGCCUGCAUCAUCCUUCUGGUCUUGGCUGAAAUGACACUUCCUGAGGCAAGUUGCUCAUGAUGCUCUCCACCAGGUAAAGGUCAUCCGGUGUACCUGUGUGGCUACUUGACAUGUGCCACAUUCCCAGAUAGAUAGUAAGCUGCCUAAGAUCAGGGAUCUCGCCUGUCUGGUUUACUCAUAUAUACUCGGUUGCCUGCCAAUUAUUUUGUACUUUUCUGGGGCACUUUCUCCUACCUCCACUUUUUAAAAUACAUUAAAAAACAAAUACUAUUCCCAGCAAUGUGCUCCUACAGGGCCCUUCUUGUUUCAGCUCCCACCUAUAGUGCUGGGCCUGUGGGAUCCAGGUGCGAGACGCACAAACCCACCUCCAAGAACAGCAUCUGUCUCCUCUGCCCCCUUCCCUACGGUUUGCUGCGUGAUUUGGAAUUGACGUAGGCUGGAUGAAAAAGCAAGAGGUGGGGCACGGCCAAGCCCAGUGUGACCGUACUGCACAGAAUCUGAAGACGCCCUGGACUGUAAACCCCCCCAGAAAGCAGAUAUGUUCAUGCAUGGGGGAAAAGUACAUCUUAAAAUUGACGGCAUGGGUAUUUCUCACUCCAACUUCAGGGACCUUAGAGUUAGGAGGAAUAUUUCCCAAACCUCUAGCAAAAGCUAGCCUGCCCAUCUUAGUUUUCUGAGGUACCAGGCACCUUCAUCACUUUCAUUUUCUUACAGGUAAAUAGUGAGAAGCCAAGAAUGAGCGAUUCAAUGGCUACUAGCAAGAUGUCAUGUUAAAACAGAUGACAGGAUCACCAUGUAUGAUCAAGACUGCUGUUUCCCAAAGAGCCAUUUUCUUGUCUUCCUGGACCCACAGACUACUUUUCUGGUCACCAUUACAGUCUGGUGUGGCCACGUGACUGAGCCUCAGUCAAUGGAAUGGGAACAGAAGUGAUGUGUGCCAUUUCCCCUGCCACCUGGAAUCAGAGGAUCCCAAGGCCCUAGAGGAAGGUGGAGGGACAAGAUGGAAGGAGCCUGGGUCCCCAGAUCACCACAGGGAAGUGGGACAUCUGCUUUGGAUUGUGAGCAAGAAAUACCCUUCUACUGUAUUUGAGACACAAUAUAUUUUGGGUCUAUUAGUGCCAACAGCCUAGGGUGUCCUAAGACAUCAUGGAGCCUCCCCAAACACCCUGACCUUGCAGAUACUUUAUCUGCAGCACUUCAACAAGAGGAAAACUGGGAGAGAGGGUGUUGCACAAAAGAUCCAGUUCCAAAACCCAGUCUAGCUUCUCGUGUAACAAUAAAAUCAAGUAAAAUCAAA